UACGAAGGGGGCUAGCGUUGUUCGGAAUUACUGGGCGUAAAGCGCACGUAGGCGGAUAUUUAAGUCAGGGGUGAAAUCCCGGGGCUCAACCCCGGAACUGCCUUUGAUACUGGAUAUCUUGAGUUCGGAAGAGGUAAGUGGAAUUGCGAGUGUAGAGGUGAAAUUCGUAGAUAUUCGCAGGAACACCAGUGGCGAAGGCGGCUUACUGGUCCGAUACUGACGCUGAGGUGCGAAAGCGUGGGGAGCAAACAGG
rnacentral:rRNA from 1 species